rnacentral:rRNA from 1 species
GACGAACGCUGGCGGCGUGCUUAACACAUGCAAGUCGAACGGAAAGGCCCUGCUUUUGUGGGGUGCUCGAGUGGCGAACGGGUGAGUAACACGUGAGUAACCUGCCCUUGACUUUUGGAUAACUUCAGGAAACUGGUGCUAAUACCGGAUAGGAGCUCCUGCUGCAUGGUGUGGGUUGGAAAGUUUCGGCGGUUGGGGAUGGACUCGCGGCUUAUCAGCUUGUUGGUGGGGUAGUGGCUUACCAAGGCUUUGACGGGUAGCCGGCCUGAGAGGGUGACCGGCCACAUUGGGACUGAGAUACGGCCCAGACUCCUACGGGAGGCAGCAGUGGGGAAUAUUGCACAAUGGGCGGAAGCCUGAUGCAGCAACGCCGCGUGCGGGAUGACGGCCUUCGGGUUGUAAACCGCUUUCGCCUGUGACGAAGCGUGAGUGACGGUAAUGGGUAAAGAAGCACCGGCUAACUACGUG